UGAAGGAAGCAGACUAAGUUCGCGACGUCCUGUCGCAACGUCUGCACUAGCACAUCCUGUG
rnacentral:sRNA from 1 species